rnacentral:rRNA from 1 species
CCUACGGGGGGCUGCAGUGAGGAAUAUUGGUCAAUGGACGAGAGUCUGAACCAGCCAAGUAGCGUGAAGGAUGACUGCCCUAUGGGUUGUAAACUUCUUUUAUAUGGGAAUAAAAUGUUCCACGUGUGGGAUUUUGUAUGUACCAUAUGAAUAAGGAUCGGCUAACUCCGUGCCAGCAGCCGCGGUAAUACGGAGGAUCCGAGCGUUAUCCGGAUUUAUUGGGUUUAAAGGGAGCGUAGGUGGAUUGUUAAGUCAGUUGUGAAAGUUUGCGGCUCAACCGUAAAAUUGCAGUUGAAACUGGCAGUCUUGAGUACAGUAGAGGUGGGCGGAAUUCGGGGUGUAGCGGUGAAAUGCUUAGAUAUCACGAAGAACUCCGAUUGCGAAGGCAGUUCACUGGACUGCAACUGACACUGAGGCUCGAAAGUGUGGGUAUCAAACAGGAUUAGAUACCCUAGUAGUC